UGUCUGGCCACACUGGGACUGAGAUACGGCCCAGACUCCUACGGGAGGCAGCAGUGGGGAAUAUUGCACAAUGGGCGCAAGCCUGAUGCAGCGACGCCGCGUGGGGGAUGACGGCCUUCGGGUUGUAAACCUCUUUCACCAUCGCGAAGCCAGUAGUUUUUGCUAUUGGUGACGGUAGGUGGAGAAGAAGCACCGGCCAACUACGUGCCAGCAGCCGCGGUAAUACGUAGGGUGCGAGCGUUGUCCGGAAUUACUGGGCGUAAAGAGCUCGUAGGUGGUUUGUCGCGUUGUCCGUGAAAUUCCCUGGCUUAACUGGGGGCGUGCGGGCGAUACGGGCAGACUGGAGUACUGCAGGGGAGACUGGAAUUCCUGGUGUAGCGGUGGAAUGCGCAGAUAUCAGGAGGAACACCGGUGGCGAAGGCGGGUCUCUGGGCAGUAACUGACGCUGAGGAGCGAAAGCGUGGGGAGCGAACAGGAUUAGAUACCCUGGUAGUCCACGCCGUAAACGGUGGGUACUAGGUGUGGGUUCCCUUCCUUGGGAUCCGUGCCGUAGCUAACGCAUUAAGUACCCCGCCUGGGGAGUACGGCCGCAAGGCUAAAACUCAAAGAAAUUGACGGGGGCCCGCACAAGCGGCGGAGCAUGUGGAUUAAUUCGAUGCAACGCGAAGAACCUUACCUGGGUUUGACAUGCACAGGACGACGGCAGAGAUGUCGUUUCCCUUGUGGCCUGUGUGCAGGUGGUGCAUGGCUGUCGUCAGCUCGUGUCGUGAGAUGUUGGGUUAAGUCCCGCAACGAGCGCAACCCUUAUUUCGUGUUGCCAGCGCGUAAUGGCGGGGACUCGUGAGAGACUGCCGGGGUCAACUCGGAGGAAGGUGGGGAUGACGUCAAGUCAUCAUGCCCCUUAUGUCCAGGGCUUCACACAUGCUACAAUGGCCGGUACAAAGGGCUGCGAUGCCGCGAGGCUUAGCGAAUCCUUUAAAGCCGGUCUCAGUUCGGAUCGGGGUCUGCAACUCGACCCCGUGAAGUCGGAGUCGCUAGUAAUCGCAGAUCAGA
rnacentral:rRNA from 1 species